rnacentral:rRNA from 1 species
GACGAACGCUGGCGGCGUGCUUAACACAUGCAAGUCGAACGGUGAAGCGCCUUCCUUUUUGGUGGGUGUGGAUGAGUGGCGAACGGGUGAGUAACACGUGAGUAACCUGCCCCCUUCUUCUGGAUAACCGCAUGAAAGUGUGGCUAAUACGGGAUAUUCUGGGUCUGUCGCAUGAUGGGUCUGGGAAAGAUAUUGUUUCGGUGGGGGAUGGGCUCGCGGCCUAUUAGCUUGUUGGUGGGGCGAUGGCCUACCAAGGCGGUGACGGGUAGCCGGCCUGAGAGGGUGGACGGUCACACUGGGACUGAGACACGGCCCAGACUCCUACGGGAGGCAGCAGUGGGGAAUAUUGCACAAUGGGCGCAAGCCUGAUGCAGCGACGCCGCGUGAGGGAUGGAGGCCUUCGGGUUGUGAACCUCUUUCGCCAGUGAAGCAGGCCUGCCUCGUUUGUGGGUGGGUUGACGGUAGCUGGAUAAGAAGCGCCGGCUAACUACGUG